rnacentral:misc_RNA from 1 species
UAAAAUUCUAAAAAAUAUUGAAAUUUUUAGUCGUGGCAAAAUCAAUUCGUGUUGCAGAAUACCGACAGUUUAGCUUAUUUUAUUGAAGGUCAGAGAUAAGCAAGAUGGGGAUCACCGACUGCACUUGUUCAAGGGUCUUCUUGAUGUGCCUCAAUAUUGCGUACAUUAUUGUGGCAUUGCUGAUACUUAUCAUUGCUGGUACUCAAUACAAAGCAGCUGGGGAACUAGGAGCUAUAGGAGUGAUUGUAGGCAUCAUAGUAUGUGGUGUCUUUCUACUUGGUAUCUCUAGUGUGGGCCUCAUUGGUGCUAUCACUGAGAACACUAAGAUACUCUUCUGCAAUAUGUUUUUACUUGGAUUUGUUUUCAUCAUAAUGUUCAUUGUGUCAUGUGCAUGCCUAGCAGUUGGUGACAAUGGAAUAAAAAUGAUCGCAGAAACAGGCUGGCAACACGCAUCUAAUCAAGCAAAGUCCAAUGUGCAAUUUAAUUUUGAAUGUUGUGGAUUUGAAAAUGCCUCUUUGGGUGUCAAUGAUCCAUCAGGUAUGGGACACCCAGGAUGUGAUGCGAUUUCUUGCUGUACGGUUAAACAGGUACUAUCUAAAGCCAGUUGUUGUACUGGGUCACCCUUCACAGCAGACCCACCUUGUCCAUGUAAAACUACUUGCUAUGAAAGACUACGAAAAACUAUGCAUUACGCAACCCUAGCUGCUGGUGGAACCGGUUUAUUCUUUAGCUUUACACUGGUGAGUAUGCAAAAUAAUCGAUCAUAUAUAAUAUCUGAAUUUAGCUUGAGUGCUGUAAGAAUUUGAAAGCAAAUGAAACAUAUGUAUGCUGUACCGGAACCACACUACCGAAAUCAUUACCCGGAUGUCCUUGUUCCACUCAGUGCUGGGAUAGAAUGCAGCCAAUUAUGUUCCAUGCCAAAAAAGUAUCUGGAGGUUUUGGACUCUUCUUUAGUUUUACACUGCUAAUUGGAAUCUUGGUACUUGGCUGUAAGUUCAAGAGGAUGAAGGAAGAGGGAACAUUAGAAAGUGCAUAUCUAAAUCCUAAAUCUGAAACACCUGGAGACAAUACAAAUUCUCAGCCAAGCUUUAAGGAUGACGUGGGGACAGGUUCCGGUUAUGACCAGUUUGAAUAGAUCUGAAUGGCCAUGACCACAUCAAAGUAAUCAUCAUCAUGACUACAAGGAGCCAUAAUCAUAUAUAGUCAUAUUUGCGGAGUAUUACAUGUACAUUUUGAAGAAAAAUGAAUGAGAGAUAUCAAAAAGAUGUGUCAUCACCAUGGUAUUAUUUUGUUGCAUCUGCAAUUCUGUGAUAUUGAAAUGGAUGAUAUGGAAGUAUAAACCAUGAUUUUAUUUUACAUUUUUUAAAAAUGUUAAUUUUUUGUCAGAAGCUUUAUUAGAAUAGGUGCGAGUAGGAAUAAUCGUCAUUAAAUAAAAUCACAAAAAGUGAAAUAUCUUUUCUGUAUUGGAUAGAUAAUAUUUUCUUUCACUGGACAUAUUUUGAUUUGCAUAACUAUUAGAUACAUAAGGUUGAUAUGAAAAUUGAACCACUGAAACUGAUGAAUAUUUGAGUUAAAG